GGGAUAACCCGGCGAAAGUCGGACUAAUACCGCAUAAAGCAGGGGCCCCGCAUGGGGAUAUUUGCUAAAGAUUCAUCGCUGAUAGAUAGGCAUGCGUUCCAUUAGGCAGUUGGCGGGGUAACGGCCCACCAAACCGACGAUGGAUAGGGGUUCUGAGAGGAAGGUCCCCCACAUUGGUACUGAGACACGGACCAAACUCCUACGGGAGGCAGCAGUGAGGAAUAUUGGUCAAUGGGCGUAAGCCUGAACCAGCCAAGUCGCGUGAGGGAUGAAGGUUCUAUGGAUCGUAAACCUCUUUUAUAAGGGAAUAAAGUGCGGGACGUGUCCCGUUUUGUAUGUACCUUAUGAAUAAGGAUCGGCUAACUCCGUGCCAGCAGCCGCGGUAAUACGGAGGAUCCGAGCGUUAUCCGGAUUUAUUGGGUUUAAAGGGUGCGUAGGCGGCCUUUUAAGUCAGCGGUGAAAGUCUGUGGCUCAACCAUAGAAUUGCCGUUGAAACUGGGGGGCUUGAGUAUGUUUGAGGCAGGCGGAAUGCGUGGUGUAGCGGUGAAAUGCUUAGAUAUCACGCAGAACCCCGAUUGCGAAGGCAGCCUGCCAAGCCAUGACUGACGCUGAUGCACGAAAGCGUGGGGAUCAAACAGGAUUAGAUACCCUGGUAGUCCACGCAGUAA
rnacentral:rRNA from 1 species